GUCUAUGACCACACCACCCUGAACACAGCCCAUCUUGGAAGUUAAGCAGAUUCAGACCUGGUUAGUACUUGAAUGGGAAACUGCCUGGGAAUACCAGGUGCUGUAGGCU
rnacentral:rRNA from 1 species